rnacentral:misc_RNA from 1 species
GUGAAUCAUCGAAUCUUUGAACGCAAAUUGCACUCUCCUCGGAGAGUAUGCCUGUUUGAGGGUCAGCCUAUAAAAAAUCGACAUCGUUUCUGUUUCGCGGUGACGUUCGUCGGAAAUUUGGUCAUCUUAUAUCCUUUUGGGUUUAAGCGACUUAGAAUUUUCUUUUUGGUUCCAUGAACGUUUCUAAGAUUUAUUUCUUUACACGUUUAAGGGUAUCGAUUUUUAUUAGACGUUACCAUCAUAUCGGAUCGCGGCCAUAAUCUUUCAUUAACUUACCUCAGACAGAUAAGAGUACCCACAU